rnacentral:lncRNA from 1 species
CAACGUAUAAAACAAAUUUUCUUUUCGAAUGGGAUUUCUGUGAAUCGGCCGACUCCUUUGUACAUAUGAGUGCCCUCUAAAAUACAUUUUAGAUAUGAAUUUUUAUCUAAUGUUUUUUAGAAUUCAUCAUCUAGCCGAUCAUGAAUAUGAAAAGAAAAAUAAAAUUUUAGAAUUUAAGAUAUAUUUUUUGGGUAAACUUCUCCUUUUCUUAAUGAACAUUCUAAGGGCUAUCAAAGUUAUUUCCUAAUUGAAGGUUACGAUUUUAGGUGAAUUUAGCAAGAUUUGGGUUCCUUGGUCAUUAUGGCGAAGUCCAAGGGUUUACAGGUCACUAUUGGCUUUAUCCCCAACGGUUCAACCACAAUACAAUCUAUUUAGUCAAAAGAUCGCCCGGGUCAAAGGAGUUUAGAGAGAGAAAGUAGAGUGAGAGAAGGUGAAGGAGUUUAGAGAGAGAAAGUAAAGUGAGAGAAGGUGCAGGGGUUUAGAGAGAGAAAGUAGAGUGAGAGAAGGUGCAGGAGUUUAGAGAGAGAAAGUAGAGUGAGAGAAGGUGAAGGAGUUUAGAGAGAGAAAGUAGAGUGAGAGAAGGUGAAGGAGUUUAGAGAGAGAAGUAGAGGGAGAGAAGGUGAAGGAGUUAGAGAGAGAAGUAGGUGAGAGAAGGUGAAGGAGUUAGAGAGAGAAGUAGAGGAGAGAAGGUGAAGGAGUUAGAGAGAGAAGUAGAGUGAGAGAGGUAGAAGGAGUUAGAGAGAGAAGUAGAGUGAGAGAAGGUGAAGGAGUUUAGAGAGAACGAAGUAGAGUGAGGAGUGAAGGNNNNNNNNNNNNNNNNNNNNAGAGAGUAGAGAGUUAGUAGAGAGAAGUAGUAGUAGAGAGAGUGAGAGUUAGUAGAGAGAAGUAGAGUGAGAGAGUAGAGAGUUUAGUAGAGACAAGUAGAGUGAGGAGGUGAAGGAGUUUAGAGAGAGAAAGUAG